UCAAGCGACUAAGUGUAUGUGGUGGAUGCCUUGGCGAUCACAGGCGAUGAAGGACGUGACAGCCUGCGAAAAGCUGUGGGGAGCUGGCAAAUAAGCUUUGAUCCACAGAUGUCCGAAUGAGGGAACUCACCUGCUUUGCAGGUAUCCCAUCCUGAAUAUAUAGGGAUGGGAGGCGAACGAAGCGAACUGAAACAUCUAAGUAGCUUCAGGAAAAGAAAUCAACCGAGAUUCCGAAAGUAGCGGCGAGCGAAAUCGGAUCAGCCCAGCACUCGAUAGCAGCCAACUUACGGGAACGGUCUGGAAAGUCCGGCCAUAGAGGGUGAUAGCCCCUUACUGGAAAAGGCAGCUGUGGUACUAAGUGUGCGAUAAGUAGAGCGGGACACGUGACAUCCUGCUCGAAGAUGGGGGGACCAUCCUCCAAGGCUAAAUACUCGUGAUCGACCGAUAGCGUACCAGUACUGUGAAGGAAAGGUUAAAAGAACCCCGGGAGGGGAGUGAAAUAGAUCCUGAAACCGCAUACAUACAAACAGUAGGAGCCUCGUUAAGGGGUGACUGCGUACCUUUUGCAUAAUGGGUCAGCGACUUACGUUUAAUGGCGAGCUUAACCGUAUAGGGGAGGCGCAGCGAAAGCGAGUUCGAACAGAGCGUUCAGUCGUUAGGCGUAGACCCGAAACCAGAUGAUCUAUCCAUGGCCAGGUUGAAGGUGUGGUAACACACACUGGAGGACCGAACCGACUAGUGUUGCAAAAUUAGCGGAUGAGCUGUGGAUAGGGGUGAAAGGCUAAACAAAUCUGGAGAUAGCUGGUUCUCCCCGAAAACUAUUGAGGUAGUGCCUCGUGUAUGACUCCAGGGGGUAGAGCACUGUUAUGGCUAGGGGGACAUGGCGUCUUACCAAACCAUGGCAAACUCCGAAUACUUGGAAGUUUGAGCACGGGAGACAGAGCACCGGGUGCUAACGUCCGGACUCAAGAGGGAAACAACCCAGACCGCCGGCUAAGGUCCCUAAUAUUGACUAAGUGGAAAACGAAGUGGAAAGGCUAAGACAGUCAGGAAGUUGGCUUAGAAGCAGCCAUCCUUCAAAGAAAGCGUAAUAGCUCACUGAUCGAGUCUUUCUGCGCGGAAGAUGUAACGGGGCUAAGUCAAUAACCGAAGCCGCGGAUUCACACUUGUGUGUGAGUGGUAGGGGAGCGUUCUGUAAGCCUGCGAAGGUGACUCGUAAGGGUUGCUGGAGGUAUCAGAAGUGCGAAUGCUGACAUGAGUAACGUUAAAGCGGGUGAAAAGCCCGCUCGCCGUAAGCCCAAGGUUUCCUGCUCUACGUUCAUCGGAGCAGGGUGAGUCGGCCCCUAAGGUGAGGCUGAGAAGCGUAACUGAUGGGAACAAGGUUAAUAUUCCUUGACCACCGCUGAAUGCGAAGGGGGGACGGAGUAUUGAAGAUCAUCCGGGUGUUGGAUAUCCCGGUUUGCGAGCGUAGGAGGCUGACAGGCAAAUCCGUCAGCGAAUCUCCGAGGCGAAGCAUCGAGCUCUCUUUUGAGCGAAGUGAUUGGAUGUGCUUCCAGGAAAAGCCUCUAAGCUCCAGUUCAGCGGGACCGUACCGCAAACCGACACUGGUGGGCGAGCUGAAUAUGCUCAGGCGCUUGAGAGAACUCAGGAGAAGGAACUCGGCAAAUUGACACCGUAACUUCGGGAUAAGGUGUGCCUUUGUAGCGUGGAGGGAGAAACACCCCGAGCGCGAAGAGGUCUCAGAUAAUCGGUGGCUGCGACUGUUUAUUAAAAACACAGCACUCUGCAAAGACGAAAGUCGACGUAUAGGGUGUGAUGCCUGCCCGGUGCUGGAAGAUUAAUUGAUGGGGUGCAAGCUCCUGAUCGAAGUCCCAGUAAACGGCGGCCGUAACUAUAACGGUCCUAAGGUAGCGAAAUUCCUUGUC
rnacentral:rRNA from 1 species